UACGUAGGGUGCAAGCGUUGUCCGGAAUUAUUGGGCGUAAAGAGCUCGUAGGCGGUCUGUCGCGUCGGCUGUGAAAUCCCGAGGCUCAACCUCGGGUCUGCAGUCGAUACGGGCAAACUGGAGUGUUGCAGGGGAGACUGGAAUUCCUGGUGUAGCGGUGAAAUGCGCAGAUAUCAGGAGGAACACCGAUGGCGAAGGCAGGUCUCUGGGCCAUUACUGACACUGAGAAGCGAAAGCAUGGGGAGCGAACAGG
rnacentral:rRNA from 1 species